CUUUCGGGUGAGUCAAGUCGUAGUUGGAUGAAUUUUAUAGCGGCGGCUUUCAGUUUAUAAACGAGCGUCACAUUGUACGGUUGGGAAAGUGUGUGCUGUCGCAUGUUAAGGUCUUUCAAAAACGGUGUUUAUUUUUCGCCAAAUGACAGCCACGGUGGUGGCAACAACAGCAAAGCACUAUCGUUAAACAAUUCAAGCUAAUAAAAUAAAAUUGACGCUGUUGCAACGCGCGCGCGAUCGUAUGUAUGUAUCGCAGACGUUAUGUUUUUAAUGCGAAAAAACCUCAGCAAAAAUACCUGACUUUGACGUAGAGAGUUAAAAAUACGAGUGCAUACGUUACAACUAUUUUCACUUACAGCAGCAGUAAAUGACAACUUCAUGCAUACAUACAUUUGUAUAACGACAGCAGUGUGUGUGUGUGUGUGUGAAGGGUGUGUUCUUCGCGUAAAAAGUCAGUACAACGAAAGUAUGUACGUAAUACAAAAACAUCCGCAUUAAAAAGCGAAAACAGUCGGUAACUCAAAUCUUUGCUGAAUAAAAAGAAUGUACAAAAUAUUAAAAAAAAAAACACGAAGAAAUUAUACUUCGUAGUGUUGCCAACUACAAAGUUUUUUAAUCAUUAAGUCAAUCGAACACCACAACAA